rnacentral:rRNA from 1 species
UACAGAGGUCCCGAGCGUUGUUCGGAUUCAUUGGGCGUAAAGGGUGCGUAGGCGGCGGGGCAAGUCUGAUGUGAAAUCCCGGGGCUCAACCCCGGAACUGCAUUGGAUACUGCCUUGCUUGAGUACUGGAGAGGGAACUGGAAUUUACGGUGUAGCAGUGAAAUGCGUAGAGAUCGUAAGGAAGGCCGGUGGCGAAGGCGGCUUCCUGGACCGACACUGACGCUGAGGCGCGAAAGCUAGGGGAGCAAACGGG